UACGUAGGGUGCAAGCGUUGUCCGGAAUUAUUGGGCGUAAAGAGCUCGUAGGCGGUUCGUCGCGUCGGCUGUGGAAAUCCCGAGGCUCAACCUCGGGUCUGCAGUCGAUACGGGCGGACUGGAGUUCGGCAGGGGAGACUGGAAUUCCUGGUGUAGCGGUGAAAUGCGCAGAUAUCAGGAGGAACACCGGUGGCGAAGGCGGGUCUCUGGGCCGAUACUGACGUGGAGGAGCGAAAGCGUGGGGAGCGAACAGG
rnacentral:rRNA from 1 species